UUAAAUUGAAGAGUUUGAUCAUGGCUCAGAUUGAACGCUGGCGGCAGGCCUAACACAUGCAAGUCGAACGGUAACAGGAAGAAGCUUGCUUCUUUGCUGACGAGUGGCGGACGGGUGAGUAAUGUCUGGGAAACUGCCUGAUGGAGGGGGAUAACUACUGGAAACGGUAGCUAAUACCGCAUAACGUCGCAAGACCAAAGAGGGGCACCUUCGGGCCUCUUGCCAUCGGAUGUGCCCAGAUGGGAUUAGCUAGUAGGUGGGGUAACGGCUCACCUAGGCGACGAUCCCUAGCUGGUCUGAGAGGAUGACCAGCCACACUGGAACUGAGACACGGUCCAGACUCCUACGGGAGGCAGCAGUGGGGAAUAUUGCACAAUGGGCGCAAGCCUGAUGCAGCCAUGCCGCGUGUAUGAAGAAGGCCUUCGGGUUGUAAAGUACUUUCAGCGGGGAGGAAGGGAGUAAAGUUAAUACCUUUGCUCAUUGACGUUACCCGCAGAAGAAGCACCGGCUAACUCCGUGCCAGCAGCCGCGGUAAUACGGAGGGUGCAAGCGUUAAUCGGAAUUACUGGGCGUAAAGCGCACGCAGGCGGUUUGUUAAGUCAGAUGUGAAAUCCCCGGGCUCAACCUGGGAACUGCAUCUGAUACUGGCAAGCUUGAGUCUCGUAGAGGGGGGUAGAAUUCCAGGUGUAGCGGUGAAAUGCGUAGAGAUCUGGAGGAAUACCGGUGGCGAAGGCGGCCCCCUGGACGAAGACUGACGCUCAGGUGCGAAAGCGUGGGGAGCAAACAGGAUUAGAUACCCUGGUAGUCCACGCCGUAAACGAUGUCGACUUGGAGGUUGUGCCCUUGAGGCGUGGCUUCCGGAGCUAACGCGUUAAGUCGACCGCCUGGGGAGUACGGCCGCAAGGUUAAAACUCAAAUGAAUUGACGGGGGCCCGCACAAGCGGUGGAGCAUGUGGUUUAAUUCGAUGCAACGCGAAGAACCUUACCUGGUCUUGACAUCCACGGAAGUUUUCAGAGAUGAGAAUGUGCCUUCGGGAACCGUGAGACAGGUGCUGCAUGGCUGUCGUCAGCUCGUGUUGUGAAAUGUUGGGUUAAGUCCCGCAACGAGCGCAACCCUUAUCCUUUGUUGCCAGCGGUCCGGCCGGGAACUCAAAGGAGACUGCCAGUGAUAAACUGGAGGAAGGUGGGGAUGACGUCAAGUCAUCAUGGCCCUUACGACCAGGGCUACACACGUGCUACAAUGGCGCAUACAAAGAGAAGCGACCUCGCGAGAGCAAGCGGACCUCAUAAAGUGCGUCGUAGUCCGGAUUGGAGUCUGCAACUCGACUCCAUGAAGUCGGAAUCGCUAGUAAUCGUGGAUCAGAAUGCCACGGUGAAUACGUUCCCGGGCCUUGUACACACCGCCCGUCACACCAUGGGAGUGGGUUGCAAAAGAAGUAGGUAGCUUAACCUUCGGGAGGGCGCUUACCACUUUGUGAUUCAUGACUGGGGUGAAGUCGUAACAAGGUAACCGUAGGGGAACCUGCGGUUGGAUCACCUCCUUACCUUAAAGAAGC
rnacentral:rRNA from 1 species